UCAAAGCCCCAUAAAUAUCACACCCACACACAUAUACUAAAACUAAAAACAUGGCAGCAGGUACAACUAGACAAUGCACUGGCCGUUUCAUGGACAUAGAGCCCAUGAAAUUUUCUCUCUCAUCCCCAACUGCAAUUGCAAGACAAUCAAUCCAUCUCCCUCAUCAUAGAUAUAAGGAGCUCAGCUCCUUGUCCAUGAAUGGCUGCAGCGGCGAUCCUCGAGCCCCUCUCGGCCUUAUCGAAACCCGGACGCUUGGGGCUGCCCCCACUCCGGCUGUGGCAGCCGACCGCCUCAACUCCGCUCUCUAUGACCUCAAGACCGCCUCUCCGACGUCGGAUUCCGGCAUUAUUAGGAUUGAGGUUCCGAUCGUGCAGCAGAUAGAAGCUCUUGAGUGGCUGUCUUGCCAAAAUCACAGUACUCUCCUUCCUCGCUGUUACUUUUCCGGCAGAGAUUCCAACGAUAUCGACCACAACGAUACUUCUCAGAAGCAGAAGCUGGUCAGUGUUGCCGGCCUUGGCUCUGCUGUCUCCUUCCGCCAUCUCCGCCCCUUCUCCUUGGACGAUUGGCAUUCCAUCAAAAGGUUCUUGUCCAAGAAUAGUCCAUUGAUCCGUGCUUAUGGCGCAAUGCGAUUUGAUGCAAGGUCUGAUAUAGCUCCCGAGUGGGAGGGUUUCGGUUCUUUCUACUUCAUGGUCCCUCAGGUUGAGUUCAAUGAGUUCCAAGGAAGUUCGAUGAUCGCAGCUACUAUCGCAUGGGACAAUUGCCUGUCAAGGACCUACGAAGAAGCUAUUGCUGCACUUGAGGCAACCAUGUGGCAGGUUUCGUCUCUUGUCCAGCGAAUAAACGGAACUAGCCAUCGUGCUGUUGUGCUCAACCAGGCUCAUGUUCCCAAUAAAGCUUCAUGGGAUUCAGCUGUUAAGCAAGCUCUGGACAUAAUAACUACGAAAAACUCAUCGCUCGUUAAGGUUGUCCUCGCACGUAGCAGCAGAGUAUUGACCACAGUAGAGAUUGACCCUUUGGAGUGGCUCACAAGCUUACAGGUGGAAGGGGUCAAUGCUUAUCAGUUCUGUCUUCAGCCUCCCGAAUCGCCAGCAUUCAUUGGCAACACUCCAGAGCGACUAUUCUAUCGAAACCGACUCAGUGUCUGCAGUGAGGCUUUGGCUGGAACACGAGCUAGAGGUGGAACUGAGUCUCUGGAUUUACAGAUAGGACAAGAUUUACUUUCUAGUGCCAAAGAUCACCACGAGUUCUCUGUAGUACGAGAAAGUAUUAGAACAAAGUUCGAGGAUGUUUGUACCUCCACAGUUGUUAAGCCUAGCAAGGUUCUACGUAAACUUCCACGCGUUCAACAUCUUUAUGCGAAACUGACUGGCACACUGCAGAAAGAAGAUGAUGAGUUUAAGAUUUUGUCUUCCCUGCAUCCAACUCCUGCUGUGUGUGGCCUUCCUUCAGAGGAGGCGCGGGUGUUGAUAUCAAAAACUGAAAUGUUUGAUCGUGGAAUGUAUGCCGGCCCUGUUGGAUGGUUUGGUGGUGCAGAGAGUGAGUUUGCUGUGGGAAUAAGGUCAGCACUGGUUGGAAAGGAUUCUGGCGCGAUACUCUAUGCUGGAACUGGGAUCGUAGAAGGAAGCGAUUCUUCCCUAGAAUGGAAAGAACUGGAGCUGAAGACUUCACAGUUCACCAAACUGAUGAAACACGAGGCACCUCUUGUGCCAGUGAGGGAGAUAGUCGAACUCUAACUUGAAAAGGGCCAAUCUUGAAUUUGGUCUGAUAACAUAUCAGGGGACUUCUGCAAAUCUGUGGUUAGGAUUGUUUGAUAAAUCCAUAACUACGUCUUCACCACUCUUCGUCUACGCCAUCUUCGUGCCUGGUUCAGUUUGCCAAUGCCUUCUCCGACUGCAUACAACAACCUAAAAUAAGCAUAUACACAAUGUACCUUUUCUUUUUUUUCCUUCUUUUUAACUCUAUACAUAAGAUAAUGUAAAAUCAAGCAUAAAAGAGCAGUUCCCCAGUAUCAAUAAAAUAGUGGUAUUGUUUUAGAUUUUUUAUCAUUUUAAUAAUUAUUAACUUAAUGAAUUACAAAGCCAAGCAAAGAAUAAGUAAAAGGCUCUGUGUCUUGGCCAAAACCAAACAUGGAAAGUUAGGAUCAGAUACAAGUUGUAUUGGUCAAGUAAAGUUAGAUUUUGAUUCUGUUUUAUAAGCUUCAGCUAACCAUCAAACAUCAUUUUCAAUUUGCAUAGCAAAAUUUUGCCAAAAAAAUAUCAUAAAUGGAAAGGAGAAACCCCAGAAAUAUGAAAUAUGAGUAUGUUUUGCCUUCCUCUUGGUGGACAGAGACUGUUGAUUCCCAUUGUUUGCUCCUUCAUGUUCCAGUUUUGAUGUGCAAGGAUUCAAGAAGGAUGAAGUGAGGAUUCGAACAGAUAGCCACGGCCACGUCAUUGUGAGCGGAGAAAGGGAGGCCAACGACAACACCAUCCUACAUUUCGAGCAGGCAUAUAAAGUACCAGAAGGUUGUAACAUCGAAGAAACCAAUGCCAUCUUAGAGGACGAGACCUACUACAUUACUAUAGCCAAGAAAAACGACUCCAAAGUCGAGAACUCAAUCCGAGGCUCAGCUCAGGGAGACCUUAAAGCUCAAGACAGCCCUUCCGACAGCGCAGAAGAGAACACCAACAAGAAUGAUUCAAUUGGAGAGAGGCCGGAGAGCAGUUUCUUGCAGAAAAUGUCGAAUAUGAUGAAGACGGGGGGAAGCCUUGUUUUGACAUCUUUACUAGCAUUUUCAUUGGGAGUUUUUGUUUCUCACCAUUACCAGUCGACUCCACAGAAAGACAACAAGAAAAGAGCAGCAGAUGACGCGAAGAAAGAUGGAGUCUUUCCGAACUUUCUCAAGAGAUAACGAGCUAAGAAUAUCCCAGGAAAGCAGCAGAAGCAACAUCGGAUAGAGGACCUUUUUAUCUAACAAGGAUCAGAUUCCAAAAUUAGUCCACAAAUUCGAAAAAGUCGAAAUACUACGAUGACUAAGCUUCUUGUAAAGGGGUGUUCAGUUUGCAAGAUUUUAUCCGAGAUUAAAUUUUUAGUGUGUUUGGUUCA